GAUGAACGCUGGCGGCGUGCUUAACACAUGCAAGUCGAACGAAGCACUUUAUUUGAUUUCCUUCGGGACUGAUUAUUUUGUGACUGAGUGGCGGACGGGUGAGUAACGCGUGGGUAACCUGCCUUGUACAGGGGGAUAACAGUUGGAAACGGCUGCUAAUACCGCAUAAGCGCACGGCAUCGCAUGAUGCAGUGUGAAAAACUCCGGUGGUAUAAGAUGGACCCGCGUUGGAUUAGCUAGUUGGUGAGGUAACGGCCACCAAGGCGACGAUCCAUAGCCGACCUGAGAGGGUGACCGGCCACAUUGGGACUGAGACACGGCCCAAACUCCUACGGGAGGCAGCAGUGGGGAAUAUUGCACAAUGGGCGAAAGCCUGAUGCAGCGACGCCGCGUGAGCGAAGAAGUAUUUCGGUAUGUAAAGCUCUAUCAGCAGGGAAGAUAAUGACGGCACCUGACUAAGAAGCACCGGCUAAAUACGUG
rnacentral:rRNA from 1 species